CCGUCCUUCCCCUCCCUCACCAGAGGAGACACCUGCCUCCUCUUCAGUUCUGCUAUCAGAUCCAUCUGGGGAAGUCUGGGCGUCAUGGAAACCUGAAACAUCGAAACAAGGGGACGCAUGAUGUUCUGGGGAAACUUGUCCCUGUAUUUGUCUGUGGCAGGCUGGAUUACUGCAGUUUACAGCCUGUGCGAUCGUCUCAUGUUGACCCCUCCGAGCUACUGUAGUUUGCUGAUAUCAGCAGUUAACUUGAGAACUCCCUCCUGGUCACCUCCAUGCCUCGCUCCAGAGCUCGCACGUCCUGCACAAUACUGUCCAGAGAAACUACGACACAAAGGGAAGAGAUUCAUGGUAAAAAUGAACUUUUGUUUCACAAAUGACUCGAGCUCCCACGGACACAUGAUCAACAGCAAAGAGACAAAGUGGAGCGAGAAGAAGCUGCUGCUCUGUUACUACGUUAUUCUUCUGAAAAUAACAA